AACGAACGCUGGCGGCAGGCCUAACACAUGCAAGUCGAGCGCGCCCUUCGGGGUGAGCGGCGGACGGGUGAGUAACGCGUGGGAACGUGCCCUUUUCUACGGAAUAGCCUCGGGAAACUGAGAGUAAUACCGUAUACGCCCUUUGGGGGAAAGAUUUAUCGGAAAAGGAUCGGCCCGCGUUGGAUUAGGUAGUUGGUGGGGUAAUGGCCUACCAAGCCGACGAUCCAUAGCUGGUUUGAGAGGAUGAUCAGCCACACUGGGACUGAGACACGGCCCAGACUCCUACGGGAGGCAGCAGUGGGGAAUCUUAGACAAUGGGGGCAACCCUGAUCUAGCCAUGCCGCGUGAGUGAUGAAGGCCUUAGGGUUGUAAAGCUCUUUCAGCUGGGAAGAUAAUGACGGUACCAGCAGAAGAAGCCCGGCUAACUCCGUG
rnacentral:rRNA from 1 species